rnacentral:rRNA from 1 species
GAUGAACGCUGGCGGCGUGCCUAAUACAUGCAAGUCGAGCGAACAGACGAGGAGCUUGCUCCUUUGACGUUAGCGGCGGACGGGUGAGUAACACGUAGGUAACCUACCUAUAAGACUGGGAUAACUUCGGGAAACCGGAGCUAAUACCGGAUAAUAUUUCGAACCGCAUGGUUCGAUAGUGAAAGAUGGCUUUGCUAUCACUUAUAGAUGGACCUGCGCCGUAUUAGCUAGUUGGUAAGGUAACGGCUUGCCAAGGCAACGAUACGUAGCCGACCUGAGAGGGUGAUCGGCCACACUGGAACUGAGACACGGUCCAGACUCCUACGGGAGGCAGCAGUAGGGAAUCUUCCGCAAUGGGCGAAAGCCUGACGGAGCAACGCCGCGUGAGUGAUGAAGGUCUUCGGAUCGUAAAACUCUGUUAUUAGGGAAGAACAAACGUGUAAGUAACUGUGCACGUCUUGACGGUACCUAAUCAGAAAGCCACGGCUAACUACGUG